UAAGGUUUCCUGCGUCAAGUUAAUCUGCGCAGGGUUAGUCUGUACCUAAGGCGAGGCCGAGAGGCGUAGUCGAUGGAGAUCCGGUUAAUAUUCCGGAACCAUGGGUAUGUGAUGUGGGUUGACGCAACAGGGUAAGCAAGACAGCUGAUGGAUGCUGUUGAAGUAAAUAGGCCGUCGUUUAGGCAAAUCCGGACGACACAAGGCUAAAUAAGCAGACGAAAGUACAGAGCUUCGGCUCCGGAACAAGUUGCUGACCCCAGUUGCCAAGAAAAUUCCCGUUCAUCUAUACAUACCCCACUGGCAGUACCGCAAACCGACACAGGUAGGUGGGAUGAGAAUUCUAAGGUGCUUGUGAGAACCCUCGUUCAGGAACUCGGCAAAAUGUAACCGUAACUUCGGGAGAAGGUUAGCCCUGUCAACCAAUGGCAGGGUCGCAGAGAAAUGUUUCAGGCGACUGUUUAACAAAAACACAGGUCUCCGCAAAGUUGUAAAGACAACGUAUGGGGGCUGACGCCUGCCCAAUGCUGGAAGGUUAAGAGGAGUGGUUAGCGUAAGCGAAGCUGCGAAUCGAAGCCCCAGUGAAUGGCGGCCGUAACGAUAACGGUCCUAAGGUAGCGAAAUUCCUUGUCGGGUAAGUUCCGACCUGCACGAAUGGCGUAACGAUCUGAAAGCUGUCUUAACGAGGGACACAGCGAACUUGUAGUACCGGUGAAGAUGCCGGUUUCCCGCAUCUAGACGGAAAGACCCCGUGCACCUUGACUACAACUUGAUAGUGAUUUCGGGUAAAUAAUGCGCAGCAUAGGUGGGAGGCUUUGAUAUCAGACUUUUGGGUUUGGUGGAGCCACCGGUGAGAUACCACCCUUUAUUUAUUUGGACUCUAACCUCGACCCGUAAUCCGGGCCAGGGACAUUAUCAGGCGGGUAGUUUGACUGGGGCGGUCGCCUCCUAAAGAGUAACGGAGGCGCUCGAAGGUUGGCUCAGGCUGUUUGGAAAUCAGCCGCAGAGUGUAAACGCAUAAGCCAGCUUAACUGCGAGACAUACACGUCGAGCAGGUACGAAAGUAGGAGUUAGUGAUCCGGCGGUCGCUUAUGGAAGUGCCGUCGCUCAACGGAUAAAAGGUACGCCGGGGAUAACAGGCUGAUCCUGCCCAAGAGUUCACAUCGACGGCAGGGUUUGGCACCUCGAUGUCGGCUCAUCAUAUCCUGGGGCUGAAGAAGGUCCCAAGGGUUCGGCUGUUCGCCGAUUAAAAUGGUACGUGAGCUGGGUUCAGAACGUCGCGAGACAGUUCGGUCCCUAUCUGGUGUGGGCGCAGCAAUAUUGAAGGAAUCUGACCUUAGUACGAGAGGACCGGGUUGGGUUGACCUCUAGUGUACGUGUUAUGGCGCCAGCCGUAUCGCACGGUAGCUAUGUCGAGCAUGGAUAAACGCUGAAUGCAUCUAAGCGUGAAGCCAGUCCUAAGAUUAAUAUUGCCAGUGAGACUCGUGGAAGACCACCACGUUGAUAGGCUAGAGAUGUAAGUGCAGUAAUGUAUUUAGUUGACUAGUACUAAUUGUCCCAAGGCUUGACC
rnacentral:rRNA from 1 species